rnacentral:rRNA from 1 species
UGAAUACGAGACGCUACGGCGUCGAAGCAGUCUAUGUCAUACUUCCAAGAAAAGCUUGCACUGUCAUAAACAAAUAAUGCCUGUACCAUAACCGACACAGGUGGGUAGGUAGAGUAUACUAAGGGGCGCGAGAUAACUCUCUCUAAGGAACUCGGCAAAAUGACUCCGUAACUUCGGGAGAAGGAGUGCCUUAUUUAUAAGGUUGCAAUAACAAGAUCCAAGCAACUGUUUAUCAAAAACACAGGUCUCCGCUAAGUCGUAAGACGAUGUAUGGGGGCUGACGCCUGCCCAGUGCCAGAAGGUUAAAGAAGUCGGUUAGCAUUAGCGAAGCUGGUAACUGAAGCCCUGGUGAACGGCGGCCGUAACUAUAACGGUCCUAAGGUAGCGAAAUUCCUUGUCGGGUAAGUUCCGACCCGCACGAAAGGCGUAAUGAUUUGGAUUCUGUCUCGGAGAGGGGCUCGGUGAAAUAGACCUGUCUGUGAAGAUGCGGACUACCUGCACCUGGACAGAAAGACCCUAUGAAGCUUUACUGUAACUUGAAAUUGAAAUUGGACUUUAUUUGCGCAGUAUAGGUGGGAGGCGUUGAAAAUAUUCUUGCGGGAAUAUUGGAGCCAUCAGUGAGAUACCACUCUUGUAAUGUUAGAUUUCUAACUUUGUAUCAUUAUCUGGUCAAAGAACAGUUUCAGGCGGGCAGUUUGACUGGGGCGGUCGCCUCCUAAACGGUAACGGAGGCGCACAAAGGUUUCCUCUGAACGGGUAGAAAUCGUAUCUAGAGUGUAAAGGCAUAAGGAAGCUUGACUGUGAGACCUACAAGUCGAGCAGGGACGAAAGUCGGUCUUAGUGAUCUGACGGUGCUGAGUGGAAAGGCCGUCACUCAACGGAUAAAAGUUACUCUAGGAUAACAGGCUGAUCUCCCCCAAGAGUUCACAUCGACGGGGAGGUUUGGCACCUCGAUGUCGGCUCAUCGCAUCCUGGGGCGGUAGUACGUCCCAAGGGUUGGGCUGUUCGCCCAUGAAAGCGGUACGCGAGCUGGGUUCAGAACGUCGUGAGACAGUUCGGUCCAUAUCCGGUGUAGGCGUUAGAAUAUUGAGAGGAGCCUUCUUUAGUACGAGAGGACCGAGAAGGACAUACCUCUGGUGUACCAGUUAUCGUGCCAACGGUAAACGCUGGGUAGCCAUGUAUGGAGAGGAUAACCGCUGAAAGCAUCUAAGUGGGAAGCCCACCUCAAGAUAAGUAUUCUC